rnacentral:rRNA from 1 species
AGUCGAACGGAUCCUUCGGGAUUAGUGGCAGACGGGUGAGUAACGCGUGGGAAGCUACCUUGUGGUAGGGGACAACAGUUGGAAACGACUGCUAAUACCCUAUGAGCCCUAUGGGGGAAAGAUUUAUCGCCAUGAGAUGUGCCCGCGUUAGAUUAGCUAGUUGGUAAGGUAAUGGCUUACCAAGGCGACGAUCUAUAGCUGGUCUGAGAGGAUGAUCAGCCACACUGGGACUGAGACACGGCCCAGACUCCUACGGGAGGCAGCAGUGGGGAAUAUUGGACAAUGGGGGCAACCCUGAUCCAGCCAUGCCGCGUGUGUGAUGACGGCCUUAGGGUUGUAAAGCACUUUCAGCAGUGAAGAUAAUGACAUUAACUGCAGAAGAAGCCCCGGCUAACUUCGUUGCCAGCAGCCGCGGUAAUACGAAGGGGGCUAGCGUUGUUCGGAAUCACUGGGCGUAAAGAGUACGUAGGCGGACUGAUAAGUUAGGGGUGAAAUCCCAAGGCUCAACCUUGGAACUGCCUUUGAUACUGUCAGUCUUGAGAUCGAGAGAGGUGAGUGGA